GAUGAACGCUGGCGGCGUGCCUAAUACAUGCAAGUCGAGCGAAUGGAUUAAGAGCUUGCUCUUAUGAAGUUAGCGGCGGACGGGUGAGUAACACGUGGGUAACCUGCCCAUAAGACUGGGAUAACUCCGGGAAACCGGGGCUAAUACCGGAUAACAUUUUGAACCGCAUGUUUCGAAAUUGAAAGGCGGCUUCGGCUGUCCUAUAUGGAUGGACCCGGGUCGCAUUAGCUAGUUGGUGAGGGAACGGCUCACCAAGGCAACGAUGCGUAGCCGACCUGGGAGGGUGAUCGGCCAGACUGGGACUGAGACACGGCCCAGACUCCUACGGGAGGCAGCAGUAGGGAAUCCUCCGCAAUGGACGAAAGUCUGACGGAGCAACGCCGCGUGAGUGAUGAAGGCUUUCGGGUCGUAAAACUCUGUUGUUAGGGAAGAACAAGUGCUAGUUGAAUAAGCUGGCACCUUGACGGUACCUAACCAGAAAGCCACGGCUAACUACGUGCCAGCAGCCGCAGUAA
rnacentral:rRNA from 1 species